rnacentral:rRNA from 1 species
AGAUUGAACGCUGGCGGCAUGCCUUACACAUGCAAGUCGAACGGCAGCACGGGAGCAAUCCUGGUGGCGAGUGGCGAACGGGUGAGUAAUACAUCGGAACGUGCCCAAUCGUGGGGGGAUAACGCAGCGAAAGCUGUGCUAAUACCGCAUAAGAUCUAUGGAUGAAAGCAGGGGAUCGCAAGACCUUGCGCGAAUGGAGCGGCCGAUGGCAGAUUAGGUAGUUGGUGAGGUAAAGGCUCACCAAGCCUUCGAUCUGUAGCUGGUCUGAGAGGACGACCAGCCACACUGGGACUGGAGACACGGCCCAGACUCCUACGGGAGCAGCGAGUGGGAAUUUGGACAAGUGGGCGAAAGCCGUGGUCCAGCCAGUCGCCGCGUGCCGAGGAUGGAAGGUCCUUACGGGUUGUAAACGUUGUCGUUUUAGUACGGUAACGAAA